rnacentral:rRNA from 1 species
GACGAACCGUGCGAACGUUAUUCGGAAUCACUGGGCUUAAAGAGCGCGUAGGCGGCGUCGUAAGUUGGAGGUGAAAUCCCAUCGGCUCAACCGUGGAACUGCCCCCAAUACUGCGAUGCUUGAGAGAGGUAGGGGCAUGUGGAGCUUCCAGUGGAGCGGUGAAAUGUGUUGAGAUUGGAAGGAACGCCAGUGGCGAAAGCGGCAUGCUGGAUCUCUACUGACGCUGAGGCGCGAAAGCUAGGGGAGCGAACGGGAUUAGAUACCCUGGUAGU